UACGUAGGUGGCAAGCGUUGUCCGGAUUUAUUGGGUUUAAAGGGUGCGUAGGCGGUCCUAUAAGUCAGUGGUGAAAUCUUCAAGCUUAACUUGGAAACUGCCAUUGAUACUAUUUGUCUUGAAUUAUCUGGAGGUAAGCGGAAUAUGUCAUGUAGCGGUGAAAUGCUUAGAUAUGACAUAGAACACCCAUUGCGAAGGCAGCUUACUACGGAUAUAUUGACACUGAGGCACGAAAGCGUGGGGAUCAAACAGG
rnacentral:rRNA from 1 species